rnacentral:lncRNA from 1 species
UAUUUUUUAGUUCGAUUAGGAGGAGUUAUUAUACUACAAAGGGGCUCACAACUACAAAGACUGGUAGUUACUUCUUCUAAAGAGUGGUGGGAUGUAGGAUAUGUUAUGGACUUUCUGCAUAGUAUUACACGGAACAUGUAUUACACGGAACAACGCGUAGACUAGUUGUGCCCCUUGGAAUCCUUCACAUUGUGCAGAAGCAAAGUUACAUGUCUUAGGUGCAAGGCUGUUCAUCAAACACAGGAAAAGAUUUCUUCUAGAAGAAAGGAUUUGAAAACGACUGUUUAUUUGCUGGCCCCGUCUGACUACGUUGGAAGAUAUCUAAACACCUUGGUAAUCUGACCGUAGAAACAUGAAUUCACCGCAGAGUCCGAAUAGUCCCAGAACCCCGCAUAAAUUCCUUCAAACUCUCCGAAACUCGCCUUCGUUAUUGCGAAAACGAUUCAUGCAUUCAGAUGGUGAUUUAGGCGGUGAAGGAACAGCAACCAAGGAACGGUCAUUCCACGUGCGUUACGGAGGACGCGUACCGGUGGGGUCACUACGGGUCUGUGACGCGGUUACUGCGGUCGAGAAGUUAGCGCCGUUAGCCAACGCCCAACAAACGCAUCACCAACCAAUCAACACAUCGUGUACAAUGCGCGUGGACAAAUGCACGAUAACGUUCGAGGACGCGUCUCGCGAUGUGCUGGAGUCGUUACCGCUGUUUUGUAUCGCGUACUGCGCUACAGAUCUCAGGCAUCCACGCGCUGUGGCGCUAACGUGUCAGACUAAAGAUUCGAUCCAUUGUUACGUAUUUGAAGCGACGACGCGUGAGAAAGCGUCUGAGAUCGUAACUUAUGUUAGGAAAGCUUUCGAAGCCGCUUGGGAAGACUGGAAAAGAAGUCACCCGGAUGGUGGAGAUCCGAGAGAAAGGCAGAUAAAUCUUUCGCCUCCAGGACACGUGCCUCUUUAAAGUGGACGAUAUGGUUUGUUUUAGACGUGACUCCGUAACCACCUCCAAACCCUAAAACACUGCCUCCAAACCAAUUCAGCCUAAUGUGUAAUGCCUAUUGGCAAUCGCCAGGGGUGAAAAUACCUGAAUUUUGCAACAUAUACCUCCGGUCUUUGAACCCUAUGUCUAAUGCCCAAAACGCUUGCUCAUUUCAUUUUGCCAGCAGUUUUUAAACGAGUGGUCGCUUCACGUCUAAAUAAGCCUCGAUACAGCAACGAACAAAUCCUUGACAUUGUUUUUUAACAAGACAGUGUACUUUUUUCAUCAGGAAAUGCUACAUGACUGCUCUUUUCAGGCAUUCCUUGCCAGUGUUCUUAUUUAUGGAUUUUACCCUUAAAACUUUAUUACAUUUUUAUGUAAAACUGUAGGUGACUGCAUUAUUUAAAUCGCGUAUCUAAAGAUUCAUCAUCAGAUUUGUUAGCUAUUUUUUGUUAUGACUUUAAGAUAUUCAUGGAGAAAGUAACGACGAAGAAGAAAUGUCAUAUCAUCUAUUCAGAGGCAGAAUGGGAUUAAUAACUCUGUGUUAAAGCCAUACUGAACUAGAAGCACUACCGCAAAAUCCCUCUAGCGCCAUCUCAGGUCAGCUGUAGCAGUAUUGUCGAUGCUAUAAAUCUAGCUGAACUUUUUACAAGUCAUGAGAUGGCGCUGUGCAAUUAACAGCAAGCCAGAGCAGAAAGAGCAUCAGUCCAGUAUCUCGUUUUAUAGGCCCCUAGAGUCGGUAUAGAAGACAACUGACAUUGAGAGAUAACGUUUAUAGUUUUAAACUUUAAAACAUCAGCUUAAAACGUAUUUUGUUCAAAAGUGUGGUAGGAUAUUAUAACUAUCUUUCUAAUUUGAGUAUUGGCAUACUGUAUAGGCAUGGUAGGAUAAAACGUUUGGAGUUUCAUGUAUUUCUAGCGACUAGUAAGGAGUAGCUGCAAUGUGAAGGUUUGCAAUGCUCCUGGCGAAUGAAUUCCUCUUCAAACUCUGUAUUUUGUUAUGAAUUACUGAAACGUUAUAAAGGUCUGUCCCAAACUGUUGUUAAUCUGAGUUAAAUAGAAAUCUAAUGCACUUAACGCUGCUUAUUUUAUUCUAACACCAGUUUAUUUGUUUACUAUUCCGUGAAAGGUACUGAUAUAUAUUCAUUUUAUCACUUUGCACUUCACAUGCUUUAGUACAUAAACAAACGAAGACGAAUCAUUUCAUUUUAUUAUUCUAAUUUUAAUCACAAAUACACUGCUUGUAAAACUUGAACCAGCAUUUAUGAAGAAAAAAUGGAAAUU